CAGUCGCCGCGGGAAUACAGAGGGUGCGAGCGUUAAUCGGAUUUACUGGGCGUAAAGCGUGCGUAGGCGGCUUCUUAAGUCGGAUGUGAAAUCCCUGAGCUUAACUUAGGAAUUGCAUUCGAUACUGGGAAGCUAGAGUAUGGGAGAGGAUGGUAGAAUUCCAGGUGUAGCGGUGAAAUGCGUAGAGAUCUGGAGGAAUACCGAUGGCGAAGGCAGCCAUCUGGCCUAAUACUGACGCUGAGGUACGAAAGCAUGGGGAGCAAACAGGAUUAGAUACCCGUGUAGUCCCUGUCUCUUAUAC
rnacentral:rRNA from 1 species